CACUGACAGGUCGAUCCAUACUCCCAGCCUGCCUCUCUCUUUCCCUAGUAGGGUGGGUCUCUGGGGAAGCAGAGCUCCAAGACACAUUGGUGGGGUCACGCUCCGUCGAAGAGGACAGCCUUCCCCGAAUAGAGACGGACUGGUCUUCAGUAGAGGGUAUACGAGUAGCUGCGCUCCCCUGCUAGAACCUCCAAACAAGCUCUCAAGAAUGGUUAGGAUCUGAGGGUGAACCCACAUGUGGGGUACAGGGCCAAACCCAUAUCCUUUUUAU
rnacentral:snRNA from 1 species